UACAGGGGGGGGCAAGCGUUGUUCGGAAUUACUGGGCGUAAAGGGCUCGUAGGCGGCCAACUAAGUCACACGUGAAAUCCCCCAGCUUAACCUGGGAACUGCGUGUGAUACUGGAUGGCUUGAAUUCGGGAGAGGGAUGCAGAAUUCCAGGUGUAGCGGUGAAAUGCGUAGAUAUCAGGAGGAACACCGGUGGCGAAGGCGGGUCUCUGGGCCGAUACUGACGCUGAGGAGCGAAAGCGUGGGGGAGCAAACAGG
rnacentral:rRNA from 1 species